rnacentral:rRNA from 1 species
AUUGAACGCUGGCGGCAGGCUUAACACAUGCAAGUCGAGCGAGCGGCGGACGGGUGAGUAAUGUCUGGGAAACUGCCUGAUGGAGGGGGAUCACUACUGGAAACGGUAGCUAAUACCGCCUACUCUAAGAUGUGCCCAGAUGGGAUUAGCUUGUAGGUGGGGUAAUGGCUCACCUAGGCGACGAUCCCUCGCUGGUCUGAGAGGAGGACCAGCCACACUGGAACUGAGACACGGUCCAGACGCCUACGGAGGGCAGCAGUGGGGAAUAUUGCACAAUGGGCGCAAGCCGGAUGCAGCCAUGCCGCGGGGGUGAAGAAGGCCUUCGGGUUGUAAAGCACUUUCAGCGGGGAGGCGUUACUCGCAGAAGAAGCACCGGCUAACUCCGUGCCAGCAGCCGCGGUAAUAC